rnacentral:piRNA from 1 species
UGUGCAAAAAGCAUUGUCAGGUAUGAAUGG